CAAUAGCGUAUAUUAAUGUUGUUGCAGUUAAAAAGCUCGUAGUUGGAUUUCUGGUGAGAACGUCCGGUCCGCGCCUAACGGUGUGAGCACUGAGGCGCUUUUCAUCAUCCUCGCAGAGAGCGCUUCUUUCGUUAAUUCGGCGGGAGCGGGAUCUGCGUCUUUUACUGUGAAAAAUUAGAGUGUUUAAAGCAGGCAAUCGCUGUGAAUACAUUAGCAUGGAAUAAUAAGAUAGGACUUUGGUGCUAUUUUGUUGGUUUGCACACCAAGGUAAUGAUUAACAGGGACAGUUGGGGGUAUUCGUAUUUAAUUGUCAGAGGUGAAAUUCUUGGAUUUAUGAAAGACGAACUACUGCGAAAGCAUUUACCAAGGAUGUUUUCAUUAAUCAAGAACGAAAGUUAGGGGAUCGAAGACGAUUAGAUACCGU
rnacentral:rRNA from 1 species